UGACCUCGGAUCAGACGUGAUUACCCGCUGAAUUUAAGCAUAUUAUUAAGCGGAGGAAAAGAAACUAACAAGGAUUCCCCUAGUAACGGCGAGUGAACGGGGAAGAGCCCAACACCGAAUCCCUUGGCGCAAGUCAACGGGAAAUGUGGUGUUAAGGUAGCCCUUCGUGUCAGUCUAGGCGUCUCAAGUCCACCUGAUUGUGGCUCAAGCCCAGAGAGGGUGUAAGGCCCGUAGAGACGCUCCGACUGAUUCCUGGGGUUUACCUACGAGUCGGCUUGUUUGGGAAUGCAGGCCAAAGCGGGUGGUAAACUCCAUCCAAGGCUAAAUACUGGCACGAGUCCGAUAGCGGACAAGUACCGUGAAAGUUGAAAAGAACUUUGAAGAGAGAGUUCAAUAGUACGUGAAACCGCUUAGAGGCAAACGGAUGGUGCUCAUACUGGCCUGAGGAAUUCAACUGUGACGGUGGCUGGACGAGCUGGCGUUCCGAUCUCUCUUUUGGGACGGGCGUCGGUUUGGCUAUCAGCUCUGACAUGGUGCACUUUCCUUGGUGCCUCCGCCACGACCGACGACACUGGCUACCCGCGGCUGGGGUAAGGUGACAAACUGCUUCGGCAAUUUGUGUUAUAGACCCCGGCGUCGGACAUGGUUUGGCCAGGACGUCGAGCUUGCGGCGCCCGCUCCUUGUGGGCUCGCAUGUUGGCUAGCUUGGCUGCGCCGAUGCUUGCACUGGACAACCAGUACAGGUGACGGUUGUGGUCUUGUCUCUAGUUGGCCUCUGCGAGUUUGGCGCCUAUAGUCUGUGGUGUACUUGUGGGUAGACUAUCCGACCCGUCUUGAAACACGGACCAAGGAGUCUAACAUGUGCGCGAGUCAUGGGGAUUCUACGAAACCCAAAGGCGCAGUGAAAGUAAAGGCCUGCUUCUCGUAGGCUGAGGUGGGAUCUCGUGCAUCGCGAUUUGGCGAGCGCACCACCGGCCCGUCCUAUCUGUCUCUGUCAGUGGGGCGGCGCAAGAGCGUACACGUUGGGACCCGAAAGAUGGUGAACUAUGCUUGCGCAGCUCGAAGUCAGUGGAAACACUGAUGGAGGAGCGCAGCGUUUCUGACGUGCAAAUCGAUCGUCAAACGUGAGUAUAGGGGCGAAAGACUAAUCGAACCAUCUAGUAGCUGGUUCCCUCCGAAGUUUCCCUCAGGAUAGCUGGCACUCGGGAAACAGUUUUAUCCGGUAAAGCGAAUGAUUAGAGGCAUUGGGGUCGAAACGACCUCGACCUAUUCUCAAACUUUAAAUGGGUAAGAUGCUCGUCUCGCUUAAUUGGAGGCGGGCUUCACCUCUCUAACGUGAAUGUGAGUGCCCAGUGGGCCAUUUUUGGUAAGCAGAACUGGCGCUGUGGGAUGAACCAAACGCGCGGUUAAGGCGCCCAAUGCGGACGCUCAUGAGACACCACAAAAGGUGUUGGUCGAUACUGACAGCAGGACGGUGGCCAUGGAAGUCGGAACCCGCUAAGGAGUGUGUAACAACUCACCUGCCGAAUCAACCAGCCCUGAAAAUGGAUGGCGCUGGAGCGUCGGGCCUAUACCGUGCCGUUGGGGCGAAGCAGACAAAUAAUCUGUGUGGAUGUCCCAACGAGUAGGAGGGGGUCGCCGUGGUGAGCGCAGAAGGUGCGGCCGUGAGGCCGGCUGGAGCCGCCACGGGCGCAGAUCUUGGUGGUAGUAGCAAUUACUCAAGUGAGAACCUUGAGGACUGAAGUGGAGAAGGGUUCCAUGUGAACAGCAGUUGAACAUGGGUCAGGCGGUCCUAAGCGAUCGGGUAACUCCGUACCUAGACGAGGGUGACAACUAUCACUUAACUAAAUUGUGACGUGUUAUAGCCCUCCGGAGCGAAAGGGAAUCGUGUUAAUAUUCACGACCCUUACCGUGGAGAUCGCCCCUUUCGGGGGGCAAGUGCGGUAACGCAAACGAACACAGAGACGUCGGCUGGAGCCCCGGGAAGAGUUCUCUUUUCUUUGUAAGGAGCGUACCCCUGGAAUCGGCUUGUCCGGAGAUAGGGGCGUGGCUUCCGUAAAGCAGCGCGGGUCUUGCGCUGUCCGGUGCACUCUAGUCGGCCCUUGAAAAUCUGUGGGAGACAGUGUGAUUUUCACGGUAGGCCGUACCCAUAUCCGCAGCAGGUCUCCAAGGUGAACAGCCUCUAGUCCUAGAACAAUGUAGGUAAGGGAAGUCGGCAAAAUGGAUCCGUAACUUCGGGAAAAGGAUUGGCUCUGAGGGCUGGGUCGGAUGGGCUGGCGUAAGAAGCUGUUCCGGUUUUGGUGAGGACUGGGCGAGGCUUUCGGGCUUUACUCGGACCAUGCCGAGACCAGGCAGUAGACGACGUCAGCUGUGCUUGUCGUGUUUCGGCGCGGCAGCUUCGUCCGGCCCGGCAACAAACAGCCAACUCAGAACUGGCACGGACUAGGGGAAUCCGACUGUCUAAUUAAAACAAAGCAUUGCGAUGGCUGUUGCUCGGUGUUGACGCAAUGUGAUUUCUGCCCAGUGCUCUGAAUGUCAAAGUGAAGAAAUUCAAUCAAGCGCGGGUAAACGGCGGGAGUAACUAUGACUCUCUUAAGUAGAGUCUUAGUCUUAGUGGGUUGAGUGUAGUGAGCUCGUUGAGGCGUGUUUCCUUAGCUAUCGUGAUGAGAAGAAAAGUAACGCCAAGAGGCCAGUUAGAAAGAAGGCAGUUAAGAGAGAGCUGAAGAAUAGAGAGAAGCGCAGAAGAGCGUAUGGAGAGAUGCAGAGAAUUUAUAGUAAGGAUAGGAAGAAAGCAGCGGCUGCUGUUUUUAGUGGCGCGUGGAGGUUGUGGAGUGAGCCUAGAGAGGAGAAUAAGCAGUUUGAAGAUCAGAAGAUGGAGUAUUGGAAGAGAGUUUUGGGCAGGAGUCUGACCCGGAUG
rfam:Macrostomum lignano uti_cns_0048574, whole genome shotgun sequence.